AAAAACGUUUUUACAUAAAAUUUUCUUUAAUUUAAUAAUUUUAGAAUACUUCUAUGAUCAUAUCCAUCCAUUAAUAAUCUUCUAUCUCACAUUUAUACAUUUUCACCCAGUAACAGACAUACGCUGGAAAAGGGUCUUAGCCACAGACUAUAUUUUGACUCAAACGAAGAAGAUGACAGCCAGAGAUAAACAACAACAAACGAUCAAACAACACACAUGGAAAGGCGGAACGACUGGAUAAAUCGUCAGCAUUGAACAAUUAGGCCCCAAUAGCCAUUAGAGUUCAGAAUCGGAUUUCAACACACAAGCCAUUUCAAGCCACAGAACAACCCCCAC